GGAGAGGUGACCGAGCGGCCGAAGGUGCAGCAUUGGAAAUGCUGUGUACGAGUAAUUGUACCAAGGGUUCAAAUCCCUUCCUCUCCG
rnacentral:tRNA from 1 species